AUCGCUUCUCGGCCUUUUGGCUAAGAUCAAGUGUAGUAUCUGUUCUUAUCAGAAGCCACGAGCUUCUUCCUGGUCUCCCA
ensembl:snRNA U2 U2 spliceosomal RNA